rnacentral:rRNA from 1 species
GGCCUUGUACACACCGCCCGUCACACCAUGGGAGUGGGUUGCAAAAGAAGUAGGUAGCUUAACCUUCGGGAGGGCGCUUACCACUUUGUGAUUCAUGACUGGGGUGAAGUCGUAACAAGGUAACCGUCACACAGCUUGCCGGUUUCGGCAUUCACCGC